UGUUACCAUGGAAACGCAUAUGGUACACUCCAGCACUGAAGGUGAUUUCGCUGCAUUGCCAGUACAGGUAGCAUCCCUAAGCUCCAUUUCAGGCUCAGCAAAACAACAAGCGGUCAGUUGUCACAUCAGAAGGUGACAACGUGAGCGUGCCCAGUGAAUAAUAGACAGACAAAGCCUACGUUUGGGCCCGGUCAGCUCUCCAACACCGAGCCCCUCAUGUUGCUGCUAAAGAGGCAGCCACUUUCCACAGCUCUUUCGCACCCACACCUUGCCCAAGACUAACCAAUCAGAAUACAGUUCUGCCAGCCAUGUGCUAACCCCUUAAUUAACUUGCACCCAUGCCACUCUUUAGAACCACUACAUUUCCCGACCCUUGGCAUCCUCCCAAAUCCUUCUGUAAAGAAGCCCAGUGAGGAUCAUUUCGGUGCAGUUUGCUGGUUAGUUGGUUUUGUCGUUAAUUGCUACAUUCCUAUUGCCGCAGCCUCAUGCCCUCGUCCUCCAUGCCAUAGACGCGAUUAGACAGCUGGUAUUCGCAGCAUGAUGCAAAGGGCUGAGAGCAUGGCAGCUCCGUGCUGGAAUAACCCGAAAAGUUCCAUGGUCCGGUGAACGUGGGUCACAGCACCCUGAGUCCCAGCCCAAGCCGCUAUCCCAGUCUCGCCAACAAAUGCUAGGCAACAUUAAGGUAAUAUAAUUUACCGUUGCGUUACAUAACACUGCUUUUUAAAAAACCUCGAUAUACUGUCCGAAAGGUAUGAUGGUAUGAAAAAUCAGAUACCACCCAAGCCUAUUAAAUGGUGAUAAGAUUUAACAAGGAUACACAAAUGCGGCACACCAAAUACAAUAUGCCGAAUAUACAUGUUGUAGCCAUCUGCUCAAAUUAGUGUACAAACCGGAAGUACGCACUAACCGUGAGAUGAGAGGCUAAAGCCAAAAGCUAUUUAUUGAUCUCAGUGGGCCGGUAUAUUGCCUGGGUAGACUCAUUAUCUCAAGCCAGUUGUCAGAAUUCAGCCCAUGAUGAAUCAAUGGCGAUUCCUUUUGGAUUCAAGGUUGACCGAGUUCAGUUAGGGUGCACACACAAAGCAUACUUCACGGCGACAAAAACGUGGUAUCGCAACUAAAAAAAGUGUUUUGCUGUUUUGUGUGCCAUAGCCACCCCUCCUAGUUCAUGUAGGUAGUUUUCUUGUGGUCGUUCAUUCAUGAGUUCUUAAUGAUGCCCCUGCCCCAUUUAACGCUCAGAACAGCAGGGUAUGAGUGCGUAAUCGCUGGCUAAAUGUCCGUUGCCUCUUAACCUCACUUACGUGCUUGUCAGACUAUUUGCAUGCUGACCUUGCUUUCGGUGACACUGAGCCUGCUGCAAUAACACGGCGAGAGGCCAUCUCUCUGACUGAUAGAAGGCAGUCAGAGCUUCAUUACCCUUCUUACCAAGAGGCCUGACGAACAGCGAGCUGAGCCGGGGCAGAGGCCCUCAUCAGGCUGCCUUAAAAUCACAGAGACGUUAAGUAAACACAGGCGUGUGAGGGGCUGUCUCAGUCACCAGGGUGACGUCCGGCGAGAGCAGUCUAGACCUGGGGGAGGGGUGUUUGGACAUCUAAUUCUCUCGGCCAACGAGGCCCUUGCCGAAUGCCUGCCUUGCUUUAACUUUGCAUCGCUGUCAUGUCCUCACCCCAGUUCAUUGUGACCCCCGUCCCAUCUCAGAAUCGCGGGAUUUAAUGCGUCGAUGUCGUCUCCCCGAAGCUCCCCGUGCCCCACGUUCGCUACAGCAUUCCAUUAUCUCGCCUUGGAUACGCCCCCCCGGAUACUGCGCCCGUGGCGUUUUUGUAUACAAUGGAAAGAUGAAGCCCGGGGUGCAUGUGGAAAUAAAAAGAGCCCGAAUAAAUCUGGAAGAGUGGCUCUCUCACGAGCUCCUGGCCCGAUAUGAGGCAGAGACGACUCUGACAUCAGCGAUGACCUGUGUAGCUUUCGGGAGGCGGACCUCACCUCCGGAGCCGAGAGGCAGCGCUGCCUGAAACACACACGGUAUUAGCCUGCCCUCCCACGCACUGCCUCCACGUCUCAGCAGGAGAUGUGUAAUGCCCCCCCCCCCCCAAAAAAAAAUAAUAUGUGCCUCAUCUGAAUUGUUGGAAAGGCAGAAUGCAGACAUGGCACUCGAAAAAACACUAGGUGGUCCGCUCAGAAGGUCUUGAUGUCCAGCUGGAGAUUAUUCAUUAAUUCAUUCAUUCAUCACGAUUCUCCAUAUCCACAAUUUGGUUGAAACCUCGAUUCUUGAGCUACAGUUUGGUUCAUACCUUGAUUUUUUUAUUUUUAUUUUUUUGGGGGGGGGGGGGGUAAGAAAAUACUGGGAAAAAAAUUUUGGGUUGGACCAAAAUCAUGUGACGUGUAGUCAUGUGACACAUGCAACUGGCAAUAAACUGGGUGUAAUAUUUACAAAAUAAACAUCUGGCCAUAACCUUAAAAUGAAUAAUAACUUUAUGAUUUACAUGUGUUAUAGUGUUAAUUGUGAAAUGAAAAACGAGUUUUGUAACAUUAGUAACGUGAUGAGAGCUCAACAGGCUGAUCCCACGGCAGUGGGCUGAGCUGGGGAGGCUGAGAGAUUCUGAACAUUUGCAUCGCUGUUACACCAUUAUCCAAUACAGCAUAGCAGGGAUGCAGAACCUCUGCCGGAAACAACAGGCACAAGGCAGGGAGUAACCCAGGACACCGCGCCAACCCAUCACAGGGCACACUCACCAUUAACACACACAAACACACCUACAGGCAAUUUGGCAAACCCAACUGCAGAAUAUUCAUCCACUUAUUACAUUUCAACCUGUUAUUGUUUCCAUUGUGUGUUUAUGUAAAUCUUUAUUGUGUUGCUCAAUGAGGUUACACUCUACACACCUGAACUUGAACCCAACGCCAAUGCUCCACAUGAGUGAGAAAGCCAGUAAUGCAAAGAUCACGUGGAGCACAGGAGCCAGAAAUCCACAUUCACAGCGACACAGCUGAGGACGCAGCGGAAACAUUCCGGGAUGUUCAGCAGGGACCCCCUACCCCACCACAGCUCCCUGAAAUAUGAAACCCCAGAUAUGACGAAUUUCCCUACCAUUUCAAGCUAGCUCAAGGUUAAACUGGCCCCUCGCAUUGUGGCGUAUCCGUGCCAGCUAUCAUCCGCCCAGAAGAGCGACAGGGACAAGAUGAAGAAGAUCUGAGGUUAUGAGCCCAGCAGGAGGAGAAAAGAACAAAUUUCAGCUGGUGAGAGAUCAGCUGACCAGCUGGAUGUUGGCAGUCACCCUUUAUUUAAAAUGGUGAAAUGUUCAUAAAAGUAUGAAAUACUCAUUAUUUAUUUACGCUAUGUAAAUUAUUUUUUCUUUACAACCGUCUUUAGUGCAUCUUUCUCUAUCAAG